UCCGAAUUGGUGUAGGGGUUAACAUUGCCGCCUCUCAUUCACGUGAUUUAUCUGUUCAUGUGAUUUAUCGCGGCAGCCCGGGGUUCGAUUCCCCGAUUCGGAA